rnacentral:rRNA from 1 species
GCUUGCUUUGAUGGAUGGCGACCGGCGCACGGGUGAGUAACACGUAUCCAACCUGCCGACAACACUGGGAUAGCCUUUCGAAAGAAAGAUUAAUACCGGAUGGCAUAGUUUUCCCGCAUGGGAUAAUUAUUAAAGAAUUUCGGUUGUCGAUGGGGAUGCGUUCCAUUAGGCAGUUGGCGGGGUAACGGCCCACCAAACCAACGAUGGAUAGGGGUUCUGAGAGGAAGGUCCCCCACAUUGGAACUGAGACACGGUCCAAACUCCUACGGGAGGCAGCAGUGAGGAAUAUUGGUCAAUGGACGAGAGUCUGAACCAGCCAAGUAGCGUGAAGGAUGACUGCCCUAUGGGUUGUAAACUUCUUUUAUACGGGAAUAAAGUGAGCCACGUGUGGCUUUUUGUAUGUACCGUAUGAAUAAGGAUCGGCUAACUCCGUGCCAGCAGCCGCGGUAAUACGGAGGAUCCGAGCGUUAUCCGGAUUUAUUGGGUUUAAAGGGAGCGUAGGCGGGUUGUUAAGUCAGUUGUGAAAGUUUGCGGCUCAACCGUAAAAUUGCAGUUGAUACUGGCGACCUUGAGUGCAACAGAGGUAGGCGGAAUUCGUGGUGUAGCGGUGAAAUGCUUAGAUAUCACGAAGAACUCCGAUUGCGAAGGCAGCUUACUGGAUUGUAACUGACGCUGAUGCUCGAAAGUGUGGGUAUCAAACAGGAUUAGAUACCCUGGUAGUCCACACAGUAAACGAUGAAUACUCGCUGUUGGCGAUAUACGGUCAGCGGCCAAGCGAAAGCAUUAAGUAUUCCACCUGGGGAGUACGCCGGCAACGGUGAAACUCAAAGGAAUUGACGGGGGCCCGCACAAGCGGAGGAACAUGUGGUUUAAUUCGAUGAUACGCGAGGAACCUUACCCGGGCUUAAAUUGCAACUGACGGAAU